AAAUAUCUUGAGCACCCUCUGCUGCUUGAGCCAGGUCAUCGCAAGUUUGACAUUCGAAGCUGGGUCUUGGUGGAUCAUCAGUAUAAUAUCUACCUCUAUAGAGAGGGUGUGCUUCGGACUGCUUCAGAACCAUAUCAUGUUGAUAAUUUCCAAGACAAAACCUGCCAUUUGACCAAUCACUGCAUUCAAAAAGAGUACUCAAAGAACUACGGGAAGUAUGAAGAAGGAAAUGAAAUGUUCUUCAAGGAGUUCAAUCAGUACCUAACAAGUGCUUUGAACAUUACCCUAGAAAGUAGUAUCUUACUACAAAUCAAACAUAUAAUAAGGAACUGCCUCCUGAGCGUGGAGCCUGCCAUUAGCACCAAGCACCUCCCUUACCAGAGCUUCCAGCUCUUCGGCUUUGACUUCAUGGUCGAUGAGGAGCUGAAGGUGUGGCUCAUUGAGGUCAACGGUGCCCCUGCGUGUGCUCAGUAAGCCUGCACGUCAUUGUGUUUUUACAAGUGGGAAGUUGGUUCUGCAGUUGGGAUAGUCUGUGGGUACAAGUGUAGACACUUUGACUGCUGUGAGGGAGGAUGCCACAGUGAUAGGAGACCCUUGGGAGGACUCUAUCUGGCAGGGGGCUUUGCUGAGUCACUCCUUUCCUAUUUCCCCGUGUAUUGUAACCAGAUAGGCCCAGUGUGGUAGCUCAUGCCUGUAAUCCCAGCAUUUUGGGAGGCCAAGGCAGGU
rnacentral:sRNA from 1 species